AAUACCGCAUAAGCGCACACUGUCGCAUGACAGAGUGUGAAAAUUUCCGGAGGUAUACGAUGGACCCGCGUCUGAUUAGCCAGUUGGCAGGGUAACGGCCUACCAAAGCAACGAUCAGUAGCCGGCCUGAGAGGGUGGACGGCCACAUUGGGACUGAGACACGGCCCAAACUCCUGCGGGAGGCAGCAGUGGGGGAUAUUGCACAAUGGGGGAAACCCUGAUGCAGCGACGCCGCGUGAGUGAAGAAGCAUUUCGGUGUGUAAAGCUCUAUCAGCAGGGAAGAAGAAUGACGGUACCUGACUAAGAAGCCCCGGCUAACUACGUGCCAGCAGCCGCGGUAAUACGUAGGGGGCAAGCGUUAUCCGGAUUUACUGGGUGUAAAGGGAGCGUAGACGGCAAUGCAAGCCAGAUGUGAAAACCCGCAGCUCAACUGGGGGAGUGCAUUUGGAACUGUGUAGCUGGAGUGCAGGAGAGGUAAGCGGAAUUCCUGGUGUAGCGGUGAAAUGCGUAGAUAUCAGGAGGAACACCAGUGGCGAAGGCGGCUUACUGGACUGUAACUGACGUUGAGGCUCGAAAGCGUGGGGAGCAAACAGGAUUAGAUACCCUGGUAGUCCACGCUGUAAACGAUGAAUACGAGGUGUCGGGGGUUUACGGACGCCCGGUGCCGCAGC
rnacentral:rRNA from 1 species